CCUACGGGUGGCAGCAGUGAGGAAUAUUGGUCAAUGGUCGGGAGACUGAACCAGCCAAGCCGCGUGAGGGAUGAAGGUACAGAGUAUUGUAAACCUCUUUUGUCAGGGAACAAAGGCGGGGACGCGUCCCCGGAUGAGUGUACCUGAAGAAAAAGCAUUGGCUAACUCCGUGCCAGCAGCCGCGGUUAUACGGAGGAUGCGGGGGGUAUCCGGAUUUAUUGGGUUUAAAGGGUGCGCAGGCGGUCUGUUAAGUCAGCGGUAAAAGCCCGGGGCUCAACCCCGGCCCGCCGUUGAAACUGGCAGUCUCGAGUUGGAGAGAAGUAUGCGGAAUGCGCGGUGUAGCGGUGAAAUGCAUAGAUAUCGCGCAGAACUCCGAUUGCGAAGGCAGCAUGCCGGCGCCAGACUGACGCUGAGGCACGAAAGCGUGGGUAUCGAACAGGAUUAGAUACCCUAGUAGUC
rnacentral:rRNA from 1 species